AAUUCAGUGAAUCAUCGAAUCUUUGAACGCACCUUGCGCCCCUUGGCAUUCCGAGGGGCACACCCGUUUGAGUGUCGUGAAAUUCUCAAAACCCUCUUUUCUAGAGGAUUUUGGACUUGGAGGUUUAGUGCUUGCCUUUGGCUCUCAAAGGCGAGCUCCUCUCAAAUGAAUCAGUGGGGUCUGCUUUGCUGGUCCUUGACGUGAUAAGAU
rnacentral:rRNA from 1 species